rnacentral:lncRNA from 1 species
CCGGGUGGGGGCUUUGGGCCCUAAGCGACCCCACUGGACCUCCCCAGUUCGAGGGAGCCGAUCAGCCGCUCCGCGCCCGCUCUCGCCGGCGCUCAGCACCACGGACAGUCGCCUCCCCGCCCACCCCGGAACUCCAGCUUCCACUCGCGCCCCUGCCUCGCUCGUUUGCGCCCAGGGAUGUGGAGCUGAGAAGCCCCGAUUUCCACUUUCUGACUCCUAGACUCAGCUGAUUUGAACCCCUCAGUGGAAUAGCAGCAGCCCAUCCGCAGCUUUCCUAGAAGUUCCUGACCUAGUAGCCUGAAAUGCAUUCUAAUCAAGUGAGACAAGGCUGUGGCUGGAAGACUCCCCGUGAGCCAGGGAAUUGAAGCUGCCUCUGCAAGCUGAAUUCGUAAUUGCCAUGAGAAGGCAACAGCAUCAAAUCCUCCAGCGUGCCAAUUCUUUAGGCGACGGACGAAUUGACAACUCCUCACCUUACAUAGGCACCAACUGACUGUUGGUCUUUGCCCAGCUCUGGGUUUGUACCUGCCCUUCUGCCCACAGCGAUGGUGUCAUUUUGACCUUGAUCUGGGAAUUGCUGUUCUUGUCAGCCUGUUGGCUCCCUCUGUUGAGGGAGACAGCUCUUUUGAGUGUCCAGGAGAUGGAAGUACAAAGGUGGACAAAUAUCUACACUCGGAAGGCAGACAAUAGUACCCCCCAAUUUCUGUUUGCACAUAGGUGAGAGCAAGAAAAAAAGGAGAAUACAUUGUAAAGAGUUUUAGUUCAGACACAAUAUGAAAGCACUUGAUUCUAAUGUUAUUUUUUUAAAAUUCAACUAAACACAUGUAGGACAAAUAUAGAACCAUAUCC